CCCAGGCCUGGGGCGGCGGAGACUACAGAAGGAGGAGGCGGCGGCCGCGGAGAAUGGCGGCGGCGGCGGCGCUGGUGGCGGAGGCAGCAGCAGCGGCAGCGGCGGUGACAGCGGCGGGAGCAGCAGCGGAGGCGGCGGUGAGAGCAGCGACGGAGGCGGCGCUCUUCGUCCUGGGCCCAGCUGAGGAGGAGGCGGUGCCGAGGCCCAGGGAGGGCACAGCGGCCUCACCUAGCGGCGGCGGCUCCUGGGCGCGGCGGCUCCGGCCCACCUGAGGCUCCGGCCCGGCCCGGCCCGGCCAUGGGCGCCAAGCAGAGCGCUCCGGCUGCCGCCAACGGCCGCGCCCGCGCCUACUCGGGCUCCGACCUACCCCCGACUGGCGGCGCUGCCCGGGCCCGCGCGCCCGCACCCCCGGCCCCAGCCCCGACCCCAGCUUCGGCUCCAGCUCCAGCCCCAGCCUCAGCCUCAGCUUCAGCCGCCUCAGGCUCGGCCUCGGGGACCCGGGGGGGCGCCCGCUCUCUGGGCGGCAGUGGCGGCAGUGGCGGCAGUGGCGGCAGUGGGAGCAGCAGUGUCGGCCCUGCCCGCACAGCACAAUCUGCUUUCCACAUACCAAGCAGCAGUAGUAGCAGUGGCCCGUACGGCUCACAGGACUCGGUGAAUAGCACCUCGGACGAGGGCCGCUCGGCCGCCGCCGGGCCCCGCCUCGUCAUCGGCUCGCUACCCGCGCACCUCUCCCCGCACAUGUUUGGAGGUUUCAAGUGCCCCGUGUGCUCCAAGUUCGUACCUUCCGACGAAAUGGAUUUACAUCUCGUGAUGUGUCUAACCAAGCCAAGGAUAACCUAUAACGAGGAUGUGCUAAGUAAGGAUGCUGGAGAAUGUGCGAUCUGCCUGGAAGAGCUGCUGCAGGGAGACACGAUCGCCCGGCUGCCUUGUCUCUGCAUCUACCACAAAGGCUGCAUAGACGAGUGGUUUGAAGUCAAUCGGUCGUGUCCUGAGCACCCUUCAGAUUAAGCGUCCGACUCCUGUUUUUCACAUUAGACAUUCAGAGCCUUUUUCUGAGGGGGCACCAAGGACCCCAAAGAACUGGUCCAGGCAGGGCAGCGGCAGGGAGCCAGAGACUGGGCUCACCUCCCAUUGGAGGGCUGGUUUCUCUGUCCGUAAAAUGAGGAUUGAGCUGGGAGGCUGCGUGGUUCCCGAGCCGGGCGAGCGCUAGGCUUCUGCCCUGCUGCUCUCUGGCGUCGAAUCCAGAAGUUGACAUAGAGAAGGUGCUUGAUUGUCCGAGGAGGUCCCUCUGUUCCCCCUCAGUCAGCCGGCUGCAGACGAUGGACGGAGGCGGCCCCAGGUGUUUGGAAAAACACAGGAGAAGAUGAGGACGCCCGCCUGUCUGGGGAAGACCACCUGCAGCCAGAAACCGUCUGAGGGCCGGAGCACAGCGAGGUGGGCGAUGGGCGAGGGGUCGGACAGACAGGACCCUCGCACGGCCCAGAACUCGGUGCCCCAAACACAGGGAUUCUGACGAUGCUGCACAUCCCUCCGUCUCAUCUCCCCCUAGUUACUGUUGGUAAACGUUUUGUAUUCCGACGCCAAAGUGAACUCAUUUCAGAGUGGAUUUACUUCUUCUACGUCCCCUCGAGCGGUCAGUGGAUUGGGGGUUUGGGCGUUCGUUUCUGCAUUCUCCGAUCCUCACCGAAGCCGCCAUGCCGGCCUCCAGCUGCCCUUCUAGCGGGGGAAAGAGCCUCCCUCCCGCCCCCAAGGAGGCGAGGGGCGGACGGAGCAGGAGGAGGCCCCCAAGAGACCAGCUCGGCGGAGGCCUCCUCCUUCCUCCCUGGCCGCAGCGCGGCGGCAGCCCCCGUGCAGCUAUGCAACUUCCUCCCCAAGGACCAGUUCUGAGUGCUGCCGGCCCGCCCGGCCCGGGGAAUCCUGUGUAACGGGUAUCUUUUGUUUUCAGGUCCUUCUUUUCUGUACUUCCAUCUCCAGUCUGCCUGUCUGGGGGGGCAAACUGACAACUCCACAACUCGGGGGAGGGCCGGGGGCCGUUUUCCAGUUCCUCAGAUGCCGUUGGGACGGAGCUCACGAUAAUUUGCAGAACAUUUUAUAGUUUUUUUUAAUCAGAAUUGAAUUGGCAUGGCAGAUUCCUAGCAGUUUGCAUCUUUGGUUUUCCAGGCAAUCUGGAGAUGAGCAUUUGAUCCUUUGCCAACCAGUGCGGAGAUUCUGUUCCUUCUAAUUUAUUAAUGUGUCGUCACUGUGCUGUGUGUUCAUUGACAGGCUUUAAACAGUCCUGUAGGGAAUGUGCGGAGGAAAUUAUGUGAAUAAAUAAAUACCGGUUCCCACAAA